rnacentral:rRNA from 1 species
UACGUAGGGUGCGAGCGUUGUCCGGAAUUAUUGGGCGUAAAGAGCUCGUAGGCGGUCUGUCGCGUCGGUCGUGAAAACCUGCAGCUUAACUGUGGGCUUGCGGUCGAUACGGGCAUGACUGGAGUUCGGCAGGGGAGACUGGAAUUCCUGGUGUAGCGGUGAAAUGCGCAGAUAUCAGGAGGAACACCCGUGGCGAAGGCGGCUCUCUGGGACGGUACUGACGCUGAGACGCGAAAGCGUGGGGAGCGAACAGG